UACGUAGGGUGCGAGCGUUAAUCGGAAUUACUGGGCGUAAAGCGUGCGCAGGCGGCUUUGCAAGACAGAUGUGAAAUCCCCGGGCUCAACCUGGGAACUGCAUUUGUGACUGCAAGGCUAGAGUACGGCAGAGGGGGAUGGAAUUCCGCGUGUAGCAGUGAAAUGCGUAGAUAUGCGGAGGAACACCAAUGGCGAAGGCAAUCCCCUGGGCCUGUACUGACGCUCAUACACGAAAGCGUGGGGAGCAAACAGG
rnacentral:rRNA from 1 species